AUUUUAUUAGUAUAAUUUAUUACAUUUAAUUUCCAAUUAAAAUAUCUAUUUAUUAGAUAAAAUA
rnacentral:tRNA from 1 species